UACAGAGGUCCCGAGCGUUGUUCGGAUUCACUGGGCGUAAAGGGUGCGUAGGUGGUUGGGUAAGUUUGAUGUGAAAGCUCAGGGCUUAACCCUGAAAUGGCAUUGAAUACUACUUAACUGGAGGUUUGGAGGGGGGACUGGAAUUCCUGGUGUAGCGGUGGAAUGCGCAGAUAUCAGGAGGAACACCGGUGGCGAAGGCGGGUCUCUGGGCAGUAACUGACGCUGAGGAGCGAAAGCGUGGGGAGCGAACAGG
rnacentral:rRNA from 1 species